rnacentral:rRNA from 1 species
AUUGAACGCUGGCGACAGGCCUAACACAUGCAAGUCGAACGAGUGGCGGACGGGUGAGUAAUGUCUGGGAAACUGCCCGAUGGAGGGGGAUAACUACUGGAAACGGUAGCUAAUACCGCAUACCAUCGGAUGUACCCAGAUGGGAGUAGCUAGUAGGUGGGGUAACGGCUCACCUAGGCGACGAUCCCUAGCUGGUCUGAGAGGAGGAUCAGCCACACUGGAACUGAGACACGGGCCAGACUCCUACGGGAGGCAGCAGUGGGGAAUAUUGCACAAUGGGCGAAAGCCUGAUGCAGCCAUGCCGCGUGUAUGAAGAAGGCCUUAGGGUUGUAAAGUACUUUCAGUGGGGAGGCGUUACCGGCAGAAGAAGCACCGGCUAACUCCGUGCCAGCAGCCGCGGUAAUAC